rfam:Ailuropoda melanoleuca scaffold1356_18, whole genome shotgun sequence.
GCCUGGGUGGCACAGCGGUUGAGCGUCUGCCUUCGGCUCAGGGCGUGAUCCCGGAGUUGUGGGAUCGAGCCCCACAUCAGGCU